rnacentral:rRNA from 1 species
AGAGUUUGAUCCUGGCUCAGGACGAACGCUGGCGGCGUGCCUAAUACAUGCAAGUCGAACGCUUCUUUUUCCACCGGAGCUUGCUCCACCGGAAAAAGAGGAGUGGCGAACGGGUGAGUAACACGUGGGUAACCUGCCCAUCAGAAGGGGAUAACACUUGGAAACAGGUGCUAAUACCGUAUAACAAUCGAAACCGCAUGGUUUUGAUUUGAAAGGCGCUUUCGGGUGUCGCUGAUGGAUGGACCCGCGGUGCAUUAGCUAGUUGGUGAGGUAACGGCUCACCAAGGCGACGAUGCAUAGCCGACCUGAGAGGGUGAUCGGCCACAUUGGGACUGAGACACGGCCCAAACUCCUACGGGAGGCAGCAGUAGGGAAUCUUCGGCAAUGGACGAAAGUCUGACCGAGCAACGCCGCGUGAGUGAAGAAGGUUUUCGGAUCGUAAAACUCUGUUGUUAGAGAAGAACAAGGAUGAGAGUAACUGUUCAUCCCUUGACGGUAUCUAACCAGAAAGCCACGGCUAACUACGUGCCAGCAGCCGCGGUAAUACGUAGGUGGCAAGCGUUGUCCGGAUUUAUUGGGCGUAAAGCGAGCGCAGGCGGUUUCUUAAGUCUGAUGUGAAAGCCCCCGGCUCAACCGGGGAGGGUCAUUGGAAACUGGGAGACUUGAGUGCAGAAGAGGAGAGUGGAAUUCCAUGUGUAGCGGUGAAAUGCGUAGAUAUAUGGAGGAACACCAGUGGCGAAGGCGGCUCUCUGGUCUGUAACUGACGCUGAGGCUCGAAAGCGUGGGGAGCAAAACAGGAUUAGAUACCCUGGUAGUCCACGCCGUAAACGAUGAGUGCUAAGUGUUGGAGGGUUUCCGCCCUUCAGUGCUGCAGCUAACGCAUUAAGCACUCCGCCUGGGGAGUACGACCGCAAGGUUGAAACUCAAAGGAAUUGACGGGGGCCCGCACAAGCGGUGGAGCAUGUGGUUUAAUUCGAAGCAACGCGAAGAACCUUACCAGGUCUUGACAUCCUUUGACCACUCUAGAGAUAGAGCUUCCCCUUCGGGGGCAAAGUGACAGGUGGUGCAUGGUUGUCGUCAGCUCGUGUCGUGAGAUGUUGGGUUAAGUCCCGCAACGAGCGCAACCCUUAUUGUUAGUUGCCAUCAUUUAGUUGGGCACUCUAGCAAGACUGCCGGUGACAAACCGGAGGAAGGUGGGGAUGACGUCAAAUCAUCAUGCCCCUUAUGACCUGGGCUACACACGUGCUACAAUGGGAAGUACAACGAGUCGCAAAGUCGCGAGGCUAAGCUAAUCUCUUAAAGCUUCUCUCAGUUCGGAUUGUAGGCUGCAACUCGCCUACAUGAAGCCGGAAUCGCUAGUAAUCGCGGAUCAGCACGCCGCGGUGAAUACGUUCCCGGGCCUUGCACACAACGCCCGUCA